rnacentral:rRNA from 1 species
UUGCACGCUGGCGGCAGGCCUCACACAUGCAAGUCGAGCGGAUGAAGGGAGCUUGCUCCUGGAUUCAGCGGCGGACGGGUGAGUAAUGCCUAGGAAUCUGCCUGGUAGUGGGGGAUAACGUCCGGAAACGGGCGCUAAUACCGCAUACGUCCUGAGGGAGAAAGUGGGGGGUCUUCGGACCUCACGCUAUCGGAUGAGCCUAGGUCGGAUUAGCUAGUUGGUGGGGUAAAGGCCUACCAAGGCGACGAUCCGUAACUGGUCUGAGAGGAUGAUCAGUCACACUGGAACUGAGACACGGUCCAGACUCCUACGGGAGGCAGCAGUGGGGAAUAUUGGACAAUGGGCGAAAGCCUGAUCCAGCCAUGCCGCGUGUGUGAAGAAGGUCUUCGGAUUGUAAAGCACUUUAAGUUGGGAGGAAGGGCAGUAAGUUAAUACCUUGCUGUUUUGACGUUACCAACAGAAUAAGCACCGGCUAACUUCGUG